GGAGGGAAGUAUAGUCGCAAGCUGACCGACUAGAAGUUUUGAAAUUACCUUAUAAAUCAUUUGACACAAACCAAUCGAUCCAAUUUGUGACAUCCUAGAAGCCACUGUAACUUUUGGAAUCAAAGUUAUCUAGGUAUGAUUGAUACUUCGAAGCAUUCAAGAAGAGUGAAAGAAAGCUCUCACUACUCCACAAACGUCUAGACCAAUGAUUGACAAAAAUUCCCAAUAAAAACCAACUAUAAACCCAUAAGAACCUAGAGAUUUUGUCGAGCCAAUUGUAAAAAUAGCUUUGCGGACAUCAGAGUCCGAAAAUGGUUUGG
rnacentral:lncRNA from 1 species